rnacentral:rRNA from 1 species
GAUGAACGCUGGCGGCGUGCCUAAUACAUGCAAGUCGAGCGAACAGACGAGGAGCUUGCUCCUCUGACGUUAGCGGCGGACGGGUGAGUAACACGUGGAUAACCUACCUAUAAGACUGGGAUAACUUCGGGAAACCGGAGCUAAUACCGGAUAAUAUAUUGAACCGCAUGGUCCAAUAGUGAAAGACGGUUUUGCUGUCACUUAUAGAUGGAUCCGCGCCGCAUUAGCUAGUUGGUAAGGUAACGGCUUACCAAGGCAACGAUGCGUAGCCGACCUGAGAGGGUGAUCGGCCACACUGGAACUGAGACACGGUCCAGACUCCUACGGGAGGCAGCAGUAGGGAAUCUUCCGCAAUGGGCGAAAGCCUGACGGAGCAACGCCGCGUGAGUGAUGAAGGCCUUCGGAUCGUAAAACUCUGUUAUUAGGGAAGAACAAAUGUGUAAGUAACUAUGCACGUCUUGACGGUACCUAAUCAGAAAGCCACGGCUAACUACGUG